UAGUUUUAUUGCCUAUUAUCAUGGAGGCAUUAGAGAAAUAUCCAUUCAUGAAGAAAAUCCAGGUUCUCCAUGCUCCCUUGCAAACAGUUCUUGUUGGAGGGUUCCUUGUGUUCAUGGUCCCAGUCGCCUGUGCACUUUUCCCACAGAGAAGGUACCAAUCUUUUUUCUGUCUUGUUGUCCUUCCUGACUGCCCUAUACAAUUUUGAUAUAAUCUGAACUAGGAAGGCAUGGGAUAGGUCUUGGGGUGGGGAAGCAGGACCAUCACUCCAUACCUGAAAUAGUUAUCCAUAGGAAUCCUUGGAAUUGAGUGAGCAAACUGUGUUGUGAUGCAAAAUCCACCCCUUACUUAUUUGUAUGUGAAUGUCACAACAUACUUUUCAUCAAGUUGCUAUGCAACAGCUAUGCAGUUAUUAGUUUGGAUAUCAGGCCCAUCAUCCUCACCAAUGGCUGUGCUGGCUCUGGAUGAUGAGGGCCAUUCCAAUCCUUCUGGACUAAAUCAAGUUGAAAAAGCUAAUGUGGGAAUGAUUCCUUAUUUGUGCUGACCUGUGACAGAAGGUUUCACCUAUGUAUUGGGAGCCAUUCU